rnacentral:rRNA from 1 species
UAGGGAAUCUUCCGCAAUGGACGCAAGUCUGACGGAGCAACGCCGCGUGAGUGAAGAAGGAUUUCGGUUCGUAAAGCUCAGUUGUUAAGGAAGAACGAGUGUGAGAAUGGAAAGUUCAUACUGUGACGGUACUUAACCAGAAAGGGACGGCUAACUACGUGCCAGCAGCCGCGGUAAUACGUAGGUCCCGAGCGUUGUCCGGAUUUAUUGGGCGUAAAGCGAGCGCAGGCGGUUAGAAAAGUCUGAAGUGAAAGGCAGUGGCUCAACCAUUGUAGGCUUUGGAAACUGUUUAACUUGAGUGCAGAAGGGGAGAGUGGAAUUCCAUGUGUAGCGGUGAAAUGCGUAGAUAUAUGGAGGAACACCGGUGGCGAAAGCGGCUCUCUGGUCUGUAACUGACGCUGAGGCUCGAAAGCGUGGGGAGCGAACAGG